AUAUUGGUGAUUCAGUGGUAGAAUUCUUGCCUUCCACGCAGGAGAUCCAGGUUAGAUCCUGAGCCAAUGCA
rnacentral:tRNA from 1 species